rnacentral:rRNA from 1 species
UACGGAGGGUGCGAGCGUUGUCCGGAAUCACUGGGCGUAAAGCGCGCGUAGGCGGCUUCUUAAGUCUGAGGUGAAAGGUUCAACGCUUAACGUGAACAGUGCCUUGGAUACUGGGGAGCUUGAGUGUGGCAGAGGAUAGUGGAAUUCCUGGUGUAGCGGUGAAAUGCGUAGAUAUCAGGAGGAACACCCAUGGCGAAGGCAGCUAUCUGGGCUAACACUGACGCUGAGGUGCGAAAGCGUGGGGAGCGAACGGG